UAAUUUCUUUGAACCGAUAACGUAAUUAGGUAGGUUUAUCAGAAUAUUUUGCAUUGCACGUCUCGUCUAUUUAAGAAUACCACUGUUAUCAGCUCUUAAAAUUGUUGUAAUAGUAAGUACUAGUAAUUAAAGAGUAGUUCACGUAAAAUGAGUAUUGUAAAUCACCUCUGAAAUAUGGUAGUCUUUUGCCAUUCCGACUAACAAAUAGAUAUCGAUAAUUUUUCUCUGUGUGACGCCUCACAACCCGGCCUAAUUAUUCUCGAUGCUUCCCGGGGUUACGAGUAAAGGCCAGACCUUCCACGGCGAUUCGAGGCGACCGCUUUCAGAGUAUUUAAGAACAGGAAUUCGAGCACAAGUGAGUCAGUCAACGAACGAGCCGCGACGCGUGAUAUAAUUGUAUUCGAAUCGGAUUUAAUGAAAUGUAUAUAUUAGUUAUCGAAGUUAUUAUGUUUAGUUAAUUAAAUCAUAAAUUUGAGUUGUAAAUAAAUUAGAUGUGUUAGUUGGUGUUAUUUGUAAUUAUUAAAAUAAAUAAGUGAUGUAA